AGUUAUUCUUAAAGAUGAUCUUAUUGUUCUACCUUUAUGAUUUACAUUUUAAGAACACUGCUUUUGCAGCUGGUGGAAAAUAGCUUGAGUUGACAAGAGAGUUGAUGGGAAGGACAGUUAGUUUACACUCAGGGUCCCGGAGAGAGACGGUGGUAAUCUAGCAUACCUUUCACCAGGACGAAGGCAGUGAAGUUGCUGAUGGAUUGAAGAGUGAGGAAAAGGAGUAACUGAAGAUGAGGGGCUUGAGCAACUGUGUGAGUCUCCAGCCUCACUGCUCCCUAAAGCAUUGGAGACUUAACUAUGCUGAAAUUCAAUCUCCUUUAAAUAAUAUGUAAGAAAGCAAAAGAGGAAAGUUUACUGGGCAUUUACAUCUCAAUUCUGUCAAUCCUAUGAUGUAUAUAUAUGGUAUACACAUUUUUGCAGAUAAGCAGAGAAUAAGGUAAAUAAUCUAUAGAUUUUGAUUCAAAUUAUUAUACUCCAAACCCCAAAGCUAGGCUCUGCAUUAAAAAAACGUAUUGUCAAAAAAAAAA